rnacentral:tRNA from 1 species
AUUUAUUUAGUAUUAAAGUAUAAUUGACUUCCAAUCAAGAGGGCUGGCAUGGCCAGAAUAAAUA